CCUUAUCUAGUCUCCCUGGGCGCGAUCCAGAAUUUCUGUCAUCUGUCGGAAAUAUAUCGGUAUUGUCGGUUUUGUUUUGGUGUGAAUUUCAGGAUAUUUAUAAUUACCACGUUCAUCAGCGCUUAGAUUAAAAUAGAAAAAAAGUGGAAUAUGGUACACUGUAUUGUAUCACGGUUACCCAAGGGUGUGAAGUAGAAUUGGAAUGCAAGCAGUGCAAUGUCCAGCCUCACUUCCAACCUUUGGUUCUUGACAAUUCAUUAGUUCCUGACAAAUUGUUUAUCAUCACAUUGCUGGAGUAGUUUUCCAGGAGUAGUACAACUAGUACAGCGAUUAGUUUCUAUCGUCUGACUUAAAUUUGUUUUACUGUGAUGGCAAGAAUGCAAAUUAUAAGGUUGGACUCGAGUUGUAAUUUAGACAAAAAUUUUCUAAGACAGACAGUUAUUGAUACAUAUGCUAUAUGAACUUGCAAGAGACACAAUUCAAGGCUGUUCUAAAAAAUAUUUAGUAUUGCUGUAAAGAAUACCAUAAAUCUGGAAGUGCUAACGAGAAGGCUAACAUAGUUAAUAUUUUGAUACUGUUUCAAGUGCAAUAUUUAAGAGAAGCAGAAUAUGAAGAAUUAUUAGCAUGAAACUGAAAAAUUGAAGAAAGAACAUGUUCACUGAAUGAUAAAACUUCUGUGUUUCUAUAUCAUCUAUGUUGUCGAUUACCACAAAAUGUGUUAUAUUUAAGAUAAGGUAGCUGUUGUAGAGCAUAGUAUCGAUUUUAGUUAAACAGAGCAGAAAAACAUAUCGAUAAAUAAUUCUUUCCUGCCUGCCAGAAAUAAAAGAUUCUCUAUCGACUCGAUACUCGAAGAUCCAGACCAAAUGUCUGUAUCCUUUGCAUUUGAAAAGAAAUAUAAUGGAUAUUAAGCAAAUGUAAUUUGUUGAAGUUCUUGAGAUGUGGACUUCUGUGACGAAAUAGGAUGAUGCAUAAAAAGAAAUGUCCUUGGAAGGCUUUGGAGAACAUUAAGAGAAAAUUAAUGAUGGUUAGGAAUUAAAAUGUUUCAAAAUGGAAA